GGGAUAACGUUCCGAAAGGGACGCUAAUACCGGAUGUGAUGUUAGACCGCCGGGUUUAACAAGAAAGGUGGGACCGCAAGGCCUGCCGCUAACGGAACGGCCCGCGACCUAUUAGCUAGUUGGUGGGUAAAGGCCUACCAAGGCGAGGAUGGUAGCCGAACUGAGAGGUUGACCGGCCACACUGGGACUGAGACACUGCCCAGACUUCUACGGAAGGCUGCAGUCGAGAAUCAUUCACAAUGGGACGAAAGUCUGAUGAUGCGACGCCGCGUGCGCCGAUGAAGGUCUUCGGAUUGUAAAGCGCUUUGAACAGGGAAGAAUGCCGCGUAUUUAAUAGAUAACGCGGAGGGACAGUACCUGACAAACAAGCCCCGGCUAAUUUCGUGCCAGCCGCCGC
rnacentral:rRNA from 1 species